GUGAGGAAUUUUCCGCAAUGGGCGAAAGCCUGACGGAGCAAUGCCGCGUGAAGGAUGAAGGCCUAUGGGUUGUAAACUUCUUUUCUCAGAAAAGAAUUAUGACGGUAUCUGAGGAAUAAGCAUCGGCUAACUCUGUGCCAGCAGCCGCGGUAAGACAGAGGAUGCAAGCGUUAUCCGGAAUGAUUGGACGUAAAGCGUCUGUAGGUUGUUUAAAAAGUAUUCUGUCAAAGAUUAGGGCUUAACCCUAGAUAGGCAGAAUAAACUUUUAAGCUAGAGUUUGGUAGAGGCAGAGGGAAUUCCCGGUGGAGCGGUGAAAUGCGUAGAUAUCGGGAGGAACACCAAAGGCGAAGGCACUCUGCUGGGCCAAUACUAACACUGAGAGACGAAAGCGAGGGGAGCAAAUGGGAUUAGAUACCCCGUAGUCC
rnacentral:rRNA from 1 species